rnacentral:piRNA from 1 species
UAAAAUGGACCAGGUGUGAGCAGUGCUCAGA